UGCUAAACUUGGCGCCUUCGAAUACAAAGGAACGAGAAAAAACAUUAAAUAAGGAAUUACCACAACGGAGACACUCUAAUUGAUCUUCUGUACUAGAGUUUUUACUAGAUACAUCAUCUGCAUUCGGUAAAAUGGCUUUCACAUUUGAUAUCGGGUCAACGCUGGUCUGAAUUUCGUGUUCAUUUUGCUCAAUCGUGGCAGCCGUCUUAGCUGCUUCGUUUACGGUGGCACCUGGAUUAUCUAAAUUUGUAAGCGAAUAGUAUACCAUUGAAGAUGCUCCUUCCUGUAACAUCAUCAUGUCAGCUCUCUUUAGGGCUUCAUUUGGAUCCAAAUUUGCAUUCUUCUCUUGAGUAGAAUUCUUCCGUAAACCUACAUGCUCUUCCUCUGGUUCGUCACCCUAAAAAAUUAGUUAACUACAAAAAAGAUAUUCUUACCUUCUUGAUAUCAUCAUUUCCGUUGUUUUCGUUGUUCGUAAUCUGCGAUGCAUUUUUCUUAUGCCGAAGUGAAAAAUGCCUUUUAGGGGAACUAAUUGAAUUCAUAUGUGCCUUAAGAGCUUGAGGAAAGAAGGAAGAGUUGCUUAGAGUUUCACUAUUUUUCCUCUCGAUAUUUUUUUUUUCAAUCAAUUUUCGCGCUGCAAAAACACUAUCUUGUCGAAAAACACGGAUUCGACCAUCUAAAUCACCACAAACAAUUAUGUGUCCCUUCAUAAUUUCUAUGGGAAGAUAGCUAUGUGAUAAAGACUUCAAAUUACGAAGUGAUGGACCUGUUUCGAUGGAAGCGUUAGAAAUUACGGAAGAGCGUCUUGCAGAUAUCGCAGCUAAAUAAACGGGAUCUCCAGAUAAGGUUAAAAGUUGUUUUGUUUUCGUAGGAGCAAAUACUGCAGCUGUUAUAGGUCUUACAGAUGCUUUAAAGUGCUCGUGCUUUUUCUUCUUCGUUUUAUGCAUAUGCUGAGGAGGAAGAUCCCAAAUAAAUACCUGAUGAUCUUCGCUACCGCAUAUAACGUAAUUGCCAUCAUCAUCAAAAUAGGCUCUGUUUUGACUCUGAGCAUUUGCAUGUCCUUUGAAUUUCAAUUCCAAACUUUUAUCUCUAAGGUUGUAUAUGCGAAUUCUCGAAUCAUUAGUAGUGACCAGCAUUUCUGUAUCGCCCGCAAUAUUAUCAAUCAUUUGAGUCCGUGUUUGUAUACCAGUAACUUUGCUUCCCUUUGCAUUCUUCCCUCUAGAACUACGGAUAGACAUCUGAGUGCGAAAUCUAAGUCCCCGCGUGUCGUAAAAUAAACACAAGCCAACAAAGGUACCAGCAAUGGCUAAGCCGCCAUCGGGGCUAAAUGCCACAGCUGUUAUUAAUUCAGGUAAUUCAUUCCAAAAAGAAACGGCCUUCUCCUUAAUCGACCAAAGACGAAGUUUACAAUCUAAGGAGCCAGACAGAAAGAACCUAUCAUCCUUAGGAUGAAACGCAAUUGACGUUACAAAGUCCGAGUGUUCAAAGCAACAAAGACAAUCUUUGCGAACAGGAUGCCAAAGACGAGCUGUUUUGUCCAUUGAAGAACUGAGUAGAAAGUUAUUUCUACUCCAUGAUAAAUCAAGAAUGUCAGCAGUAUGGCCAGCGUACUCUCGAAUAGGAGCUUCAGAAAAGACGGGUGCUUUCAAAUUUAAUUUAGGAUUGUUUGGAUCAGAGCUACACGUCUCAGACGCAACGCUUCGAGCAUGUUCGGAAUCCAAAACCGCCCAAAUACGUAAAAUCCGAUCUUGUCCACCGACAGCAAGAUACCGGCCAUCACGACUAAACUUCAUUGCCCAGAUUGCAUUAUUAGAUGAAUUAGAAGAAGAGUUAGAUGUAAUAGCUACAGCUAAAGUAUCUGAAAUGACGGAUGGUGUACGGUUCAAGGGUGACGACGAGUUAUGUAGGUGAACAGAAGCAUUGGUGAUACUUUGUGCAUCAGCCGUAUGCCGUGAAGAGGAAGGUUCACUUGACUCAUGAGCUAAAUUUGGGAAAUCUGUUGCACGAGGUUCAUAGUAUCGGUCAUGUGUUGCGGCAAGAGUUGGUUUACAGUAUAAUUCCUGAGCUAAAAACAAAUGGUCGAGAGAUUUCUCCUUUUUAUUGUGGGAGAGUACGCGAAUAUAUUUGGGAGGAGAAUCCCACACAUUUUUUCCGUCGGGAAUCCAGGAAAAGGGAUCAGCGGCGUUGCCUUCAACACGAGGAAUACCAUCCCGUUCUUCUUCCGAGGAUUCAUUGUCCAUAUCCUCUCGAAUGCCGAAAAUAUGAGAAGUGCUACCGAGCAUGCGCGAAAACAAAGAGGACCGAUGUUGGCUAGGUUGACGUAUGGCCCCAAAACUUUUCAAGCUCAAUUGAUCGCUUUCCCCUGUAUCAGUCAAAGAUGAUCCAUGAUUACUUUUUCGGCCAGAUACCGUUCUAGUUACGUUGGAAGAGCGAUUGGUUCCCUCUCUCGAUAAAUGGGUGUUCGAACUUGCCCGUGAAGGAUUCAAAAAUGACAGCGUUUUUUCAGAUCUAGUCCGUUUCAUGAUGUGUUUCGACAAGGGGUCUAAGCUAGAGGAACCAUCUCUUAAUAAAUUGGUGUCUGAUGAUAAAUAACGACUUCGUCCAGAGCUGCUGUGAGCUAAUUUACGUUGUUAGUUAUACAUAUCAAAUUGACAUACGUACGCCGGAUUACUAUCGCAAAUUUAAGAACAUGCUAAUAUAAAUCCUUUGCAAAAGCUACUUACCAUCGGCAUGUCCGUUCGCUUCCUCCCUGUCUCCCGGUUUUCCAUGUUCGAAGUUAUGCGUCGCCUGUCUACCAUUGUUCAAGUGGUCAAGGGAAUUCUUUGGCGACUGAAUUUGUAUAUGAGGUAGAUUUCCAUUCAUGAAAUGCUUUUCUUAACUCUAAAAACUCGUUCCUAAACUAGAAAAGGUCUUUGAAGCGGCGUUCUACCGUGUUUGUUGUUUAUGCCCUACUUGAUGUAUUUUCAGACGCUCCAUUGGAAAGGGGGCGCAACGAAUCAGCGUUAUUUAUCAUUACAUAUGUUAUAGUAUGUGCCUAAAUUGUUUACACGGUAGAGCGUGUCGUUAAUUAAAAAAAAGUUUUAGUAAAAUAGCUGGGAUAAAGAGAAUUUCCCGUUUAAAAUCUCUAAUAAAAUGAAACAUUUGGUUGCUCCGUGGUACCGCUUUAACAGAGACGAACUGAUUUUCGAGAGGUCAAUUUGCACUUCCUAUGCCACUAUGUUGAAGUUGCAACUCGUACCUGUAGAUUCGGCAUAAAGCAUUUGCUUAGAAAAGCAGAAUAAGUCAAUAUUUAAAGCUAUCUGCAAGGGUUUUUGAGCAAGCCCGCUACGGUGAGGUUUAUUUACAUUAAGCAACGUGAUCUUUUAUAGUAACGUAUACCUUCGCAACGAUAUGUUUAUAUACCCUUUAAUGCCAUUAAUAGAACAAUAUUAUAAUAUGUUUAUUGUUGUAAAAUUUUUGUAUAAGGAUAUAUCAUAGUCGGUACAAAUUCGUUUUUGACACAGACCAUUCUAAA
rnacentral:lncRNA from 1 species